CGGAGGGUGCAAGCGUUGUUCGGAAUUACUGGGCGUAAAGCGCGGGCAGGUGGUCUUUUAAGUCCUUUGUGAAAUCCCGGGGCUCAACUCCGGAUGUGCAUAGGAUACUGGAAGACUCGAGACUGGUAGAGGCGAGCGGAAUUCCUGGUGUAGCGGUGGAAUGCGUAGAUAUCAGGAAGAACACCGGUGGCGAAGGCGGCUCGCUGGGCCAGUUCUGACACUCAUCCGCGAAAGCGUGGGGAGCAAACAGGAUUAGAUACCCUGGUAGUCCACGCCGUAAACGAUGGGCACUAGAUGCCGGGCCUAUAGACGGGUUCGGUGUCGCAGCUAACGCAUUAAGUGCCCCGCCUGGGGAGUACGGCCGCAAGGCUG
rnacentral:rRNA from 1 species